rnacentral:rRNA from 1 species
GACGAACGCUGGCGGCGUGGAUUAGGCAUGCAAGUCGAACGGUAGGAGUACCUUCGGGUAUCUGAGAGUGGCGAACGGGUGAGUAACACGUAGGUGAUCUACCCUCAAGAUUGGGACAACCCAGGGAAACUUGGGCUAAUACCGGAUGAAAGCAGCAGUGAUGUUGUUUGAAAGGUGGCGUAAGCUGCCGUUUGGGGAUGAGCCUGCGCUCUAUUAGUUAGUUGGCGGGGUAAAGGCCCACCAAGGCGAUGAUAGAUAGGCGGCCUUAACGGGUGGUCGCCCACACUGGGAUUGAGAUACGGCCCAGACUCCUACGGGAGGCAGCAGUCGAGAAUAGUCUACAAUGGCCGAAAGGCUGAUAGUGCGACGCCGCGUGAACGAAGAAGCCCUUCGGGGUGUAAAAUUCUUUUAUAUGUGAGCAGUGCUUUCUAUGUGAACAGCAUGGGGAGAGAGAUAUUAGCAUAUGAAUAAGCAACGGCUAACUCCGUG